rnacentral:lncRNA from 1 species
GGUUUUAUGUAGCUGCCUUUUAUCAAAUUAAAGAAAUUUCUUUCUAUUCCUAGUUUGUUGAGAGCUUUAUCAUGAAUGUUGAAUUUUAUCAAAUGCUUUUUCUACACCUAUUAAGAUGAUCAUCUGACUUUCUCUUUAUUCCGGGGAUCAGUAACAUUUUCCAGAAAGGACCAUAUACCUGUCUCCAUGUAUCAAGUGGCCCUAUAUAAGCAGUCACAUGGAGAGAACUGCAGCUUCCUGCCAACAGCCAUGUAAGUGAAUAUCGUGUUGGCUGCAGAUCCUCUAUCCCCAUUCAAGCCUUCGGAUGAUGACAGACACAGCUGACAUCUUAAUUAUAACCUCAUGAAAGACUCUGAGCCAAAACCACCCUGCUAGUCUACUCCUGAAUUCUUGACUUAAAGAAACUACGUG